rnacentral:rRNA from 1 species
UUCCAGACUCCUACGGGAGGCAGCAGUGGGGGAUAUUGCACAAUGGGGGGAACCCUGAUGCAGCGACGCCGCGUGGGUGAAGGAGCGUUUCGGCGCGUAAAGCCCUAUCGGCAGGGAAGAAGGAGGACGGUACCUGACUAAGAAGCCCCGGCUAACUACGUGCCAGCAGCCGCGGUAAUACGUAGGGGGCGAGCGUUGUCCGGAAUCACUGGGCGUAAAGGGCGCGUAGGCGGUAAUAUAAGUCAGAUGUGAAAGGUGGGGGCUCAACCCCUAGAGUGCAACUGAUACUGUAUAACUUGAGUGUGAGAGAGGGAAGCGGAAUUCCUAGUGUAGCGGUGAAAUGCGUAGAUAUUAGGAGGAACACCAGUGGCGAAGGCGGCUUUCUGGCUCAUAACUGACGCUGAGGCGCGAAAGCGUGGGGAGCAAACAGGAUUAGAUACCCGAGUA